rnacentral:rRNA from 1 species
UACGUAGGGUGCAAGCGUUGUCCGGAAUUAUUGGGCGUAAAGAGCUCGUAGGCGGUUCGUCGCGUCGGCUGUGAAAAACCUGAGGCUCAACCUCAGGCCUGCAGUCGAUACGGGCGGACUUGAGUACUGCAGGGGGAGACUGGAAUUCCUGGUGUAGCGGUGAAAUGCGCAGAUAUCAGGAGGAACACCGGUGGCGAAGGCGGGGUCUCUGGGCAGUAACUGACGCUGAGGAGCGAAAAGCGUGGGGGAGCGAACAGG